rnacentral:rRNA from 2 species
AACUACAGGGUAUUGCCUUAGUAGCGGCGAGUGAAUAGGUAUAGAGCUCAGACCUGAAAGCCUUUCGGGGCAUUGUAUUCUGAAGCCUUGGUCUCGGGAAUCGGUGCUUAAGUCUUCUGGAAAGGAGCGCCAUGGAGGGUGAUAGCCCCGUGAAGCACUAACCCCAUUUUGGGACCUUGGCGUGGAGUCGAGUUGUUUGGGAAUGCAGCUCAAAUGGGUGGUAUGCUCCAUCUAAAGCUAAAUAUCUGCGAGAGACCGAUAGCGAACAAGUACUGUGAAGGAAAGAUGAAAAGAACUUUGAAAAGAGAGUGAAAUAGUACGUGAAAUUGUUGAAAUGGAAGGGUAGGCCGCUAACCACGUAGAGUCGUGUCUAGGGGGAGGAUAAAAGCUGCAACCUAUAUCAUUCUUCGGAGUGGUAUAGGCGCGGUGCAUACUCCCACCCGGGCGCGAGGACCUAAGACUCUACUAAAUGGUGGUCUACCACCCGUCUUGAAACCGGGACCAAAGGGCAUUGGAUUCUGAAGCCUUGGUCUCGGGAAUCGGUGCUUAAGUCUUCUGGAAAGGAGCGCCUUGGAGGGUGAUAGCCCCGUGAAGCACUCACCCCAUUUUGGGACCUUGGCGUGCCGUCCAGUUGUUUGGGAAUGCAAAUAAAAUGGGUCGUAUGCUCCAUCUAAAGCGAAAAACUCUGCGAGAGACCGAGCGCGCAAAAAGUUCUGUGGAUGAAAAGAUGCAAAAGACAUUUGCUAAUAGAGCUGUGAUAGUUCUUUCAAUGAUUGCAUAGCAAAGAUAGCCGUUUUCCAACGUAAUGUACUGUCUGGUGUGGGAUAAAACUGCACCAUUAUAGUUUGCUCGCAUGCGUAUGGAACCAGCAAUGCUACCAAACGGGACAAUGACUUCGUAACGUGAUACACCCUCUCGUAUA